GUUUUUACACAAAGCUGGAAUGCAUUUGCUUCUCUCCUGGGGAGGUUGGGGAGAGCCGCUGAGUGGAUGCAUUUGCAUCGCAGCUUCUCUAAGUAAACUGGCCACUCCCUACUGAUUUGUUAUCAGGCUGAAUGUGUCUCCUCCCUUCCUUUCCGGAGCAUUUGCAGCUGUUCCUGGAAGGAGAUCCAGUUGAAAAGGGGUUGUUGCGACCAAGGAACAGCUGGAUCUUUAAUGAUCUGUCAGCAGCUCACAGCAAAGUUCCAGCACCCUGAGGCAGGACAGAUUUCCGGUGAAAUGGUGCCGAAGCUGUCUACCUCCUGCAACUCCUCACUUGGCUGUGAAAACAGCAGAACUCCACAUCUCACAUCUGGCCAGCGUGAAAAGCACGGGGAUGCACAAGUCUGCCCCCGGAAGUGGCUGAGAGGCUGGUGCUCAUGCGCAGAGAGCUUCCCUGCAAAACCUCACAGAUUGCUUCUUGGCCCACCGCUCCCUCUUCUCUUGGGCAGCUCAGACUGCUUCCGUCCAGUGUGGCUGGUAGCCGGGGAUGGUACCUGUACUUUUUCGCUAUACUUGCUGUUUCUCUGCCCAUUCUCGCAUCACUUUAAUAGCCGUCAGGCUCAGGUUUCUGCUGGGCUCUUUUCUCUGGCCCAGCACCUAGUGCGGCCCCUGUAACUUUUGCUCCUCACCCUUGCAGGGGCUGAAGGAGAGGAAUGUGACAAAGAAGAGGCUUUCAGAAACCCCAGCAGAGUCCAGGAGAGCAGUCCUGAGAGCGCAGGCCCGCUGUUUUCUCUCUUCUUUCCUUUCCUUUCCCCUUUCCUUCCUUCCUUCCCUCCUUCCCCCCUUCCCCCAUCCCCUCUCCCUCUCUCCCUCCCUCCCUCCCUUCUUCCUUCCUUCCUUUCUCACUGGAGAUGGAAUUCAGGAAAGGUUGACCAUCCCCAGUCCCUUCCAUCAUCACUGUUAUUAUUAUUAUUUUUUUUUUUUUCAUUUUAGGUUUUGAAUAGCUGCCUUGUUUGUGGAGAUGUGCAGUCAGGAGGGGAAGUGCAUUCCAGCCUCUCUUCCAGGGUGGUGGAAGUCUUGGUCCUCAAGCCCUUUCCAGGGCUUCAGGGUGGUGAGCUGGAGUGAGUCCAUCCGGCAGGUUCAGAGCCUUGGCACUGAGGUGACUGUCCCAUCUUAAACUGGUUUGCAGAAAGGAGUCCUAGCUGCCUGCGACCCUGUCUAACCCUGCUGCUCCAGAACCUUGCUCAGCUCUCCUCCUUCCAGUUCCAAGGGCUCACUGGCUCAGUUGUGUGGAGGUGGGAACUUCCGGUCACCUCUUUGGGGACAGCAGUGGACUUCUGCUGGCCUCCUGGAAAUCUUGCUCUUUUUCUUGCCCCUGUGCCCCCACCACUCUGCGUUAUGCACUCACAGAAUAGCUUCAGGCAUCUUAAAGUAGCUCAGGGGCACUUUUGUAACCACAUGGAGAACAGGGAGUAAAGAGCUGGAGAUGUGGAGUAGCCCGGGAAGAGAUGAAAAGCCACACUGGUGCCAGGCGGCACCCCUACAUCAAUCCUAAAGGUGGGUGCUGCCAUCCUCAGCUCUGGGGUGAUAGAACUGAGGCUCAGGGAGGGUGGUUUGCCUGCUGUGGGAGGAUCAGUAAACGAAAGAGCAGGCAUCAGACCCAGAAGCCUGCUCCAGAGCUCUGCUCAGAGCACAGGUCUCUGCACUGUAAUGAGCAUACUCAGGAGAAGGACUAACUGUGGUCUGUGUUUGGCUGUGCUUCUGAGCUAGAGACAAAGCAUGGGAAACAGUGGGUAAAAUGCAGGUUAACAGCAAUUUACAAAUGAACAGGGUUGUCUCCUAUUGGACAAAUGACACAAUAAGGAUUGAAAUUGUUGAUGUGAUUAUUAUUAUUUUUUUUUUACCAAGCACAAAUACGUGGGCCAACAUAAAGGAAGUGAGAAACUGUUGAAUGGUAACUUUGGCUUAGCCUUGUAAGAUAGCUGUAUAUCUCUAGAGAAGCUGCUGGAUACCCAGUAUGUUUUAUUGACCUUUGCAUAUCUAAUUCAUCUGAAAGGUAGGAGUCUUCACCAAAAACUUCCUAGAAAGGAUUGCAAGCAGAGGAUUAUUUCCCAAUAGUGGUGGACAUUUCUAAUACCACACAGGCUGUGUGGGUCUCCUCCUCCAGUUUGUGGGAGGAGAACGCUUGGCUGGAAUGAUAGCUGUUGCUCUUUGCAGAGUCAGGGUUCUCAAGCCUGCUCUAAGGGGAGGUUGUCAGCGUGAUUUUUUUCAAUUCUUAUUUUUGCUCAUCCACAUUUGCAGUACCUGCUAUUAUAUUCCUUGUGCGGAGCUGGCCCGUGCCUGUAACACAUCUCAGUUGCUUUUCUCAUCCCCUCCUGCUCCUCCUUCUCCUCCCUCCAUCUCUCGGUCCCCUUCCCAUUUGAGAAAGUUCUCUCUCCCUGUUUCUCAUUGUCUGUCUUUUAUUUUGCUCUUUAUGUAUACUUUGGGUUCUGGUGUAAGAGCAGCCAUGUGUCUGAUGUGUCUGAGCAGCUUGUGUGUCUGAUUUAUUUCACUUAACCUCAUGGUUUCCAGGUGCACUUAUUUUCCUACAGAUGACUCAAGUUUAUCCUUUGUGGAAGAGUAGAUGUCCUUGUUUGACUGAUGGCCACAGCGGCCUGGGUAACUUGCAGAUGAGUCCUUCCUGCUUCCCACCCAGGCUGGGCUGUAGCUUGGGUUUCCCUGCACUGGUGGAGAACACAGUUUCUAGCACACAGAGGUAGGAGCUCCGGCCUGCUAGGCCGUGAGCCUGGGAAGUAAUUGGAGCCACAGCCUCUGCUCGACUUGCAGAACUGAGCUGACUGGGAAGUUAAGACACAACUGCUAACAGGCACUGAGAGCAGUGGUAGCUCUGGGAGGCACAGGGAAGCCUGUGCAGGAGAUCGAUGUGGUGGAGAUUACCCAGCUUCUACCACUGUCCUUUCUCAGCAAGUCUAGGUACUGGGAGCGACAGCCCAGAGUGCACUGAUAAUUUUACGUGGAGGGUUGGGGGUGAGAGCAGAGGAGCCAACAACUGCUCUUUCAGAGGGGCCAGCGACUGUCCCUUUUUACUGGAGGAAAAAUCCUUUCUUUAAAAAAAAAAUCCACUUGGAAGUUCAGUCUUGAACAGAUUGAGCAAAGAGAACAGGCGCCCGCUGCUGCUGUGCGUGGCCUUGCAGGGUGGAGGCGCGCGCUGAGGAGUGUGUGCUGCUGCACUCGGCUUCUCCACGGCCUCCACGCAGCUGCCCGCAGCCUUCGGGACAGCACUGAACGAAGGGCUUUGGAUGCCCAGGCCCAGCCCGUCCAGUGCAUUUCCUGACCUGUGCGUCGGUACAUGGCACCGCGUUCCUAGCGGGGAGCUGGCGCGCACACAGCACAUCGCAGUUCCGUUUUUCAGCCCUUCCCCUCCCGGUCCCUCCGUCUCUCGGUCCCCUUCCCGGCCUUCGUCCUCAGUGGGACACAGAUCAUCCAAGAGCUCCCUGCAGACCAUGGCCCAGUGGUUGCAGAGAACCCUCUCCUGAACACGCCCCAUUGUCUCUCUUUCUCACACUCCAUUUUCACGACCUUUUACCUCGUUUCCUGACAUUAUCUCUCAGUGCCCUACCCAGGUCUCAGUCCUUCCCUCAGAGCCCACUUUUGGGCAACUCAUGCUGUGGGGUGGGGAACGGAGGGGGCAGUGCUAGGUCACUUGGCCCAGGCCCCUCCUCAUGCAAUCUGUCCCUGAAACUCCUGUAGAGCUCCGGAGCCAUCAUCCCCUUUUCUAAAACUGAACGUACCCAGGCUGAAUCGCUGUUUCCCCUCAAGUCCUGUACUUUUGUUUUCCUUUUCUUUGCCAAUGGCUGCACCAUUGCUCCAGUUCACACAAACUCUGUAAGGUCCACACUUCUCACGUCCAUCAGCUUAACUCUGCUACCCAAUUCUACCAUCCGAGCAGUCCUUGAACACAUCUUCCACCUCCACCACCAUGCUUGCUUGAGAACACAUCUGUGCUGGGUGGGGUGGCUGCCUGAAGUCCUCUGUGAGAGGCUGAUGGGACCACAGGCAAACUCC
rnacentral:lncRNA from 1 species